rnacentral:misc_RNA from 1 species
AAGACUAUAGACCUGCGGAGUACCUGCGGAGGGAUCAUUAUCAGUUGUGUCUUGCUGUCUGCCUGGCGCCUCCGCUCCUGUGAAGUCUUCGGGGGGUGCUUCAAAGAAGUAUCCGCCGGGGGCCGCCCCCUGAAAGGAAUAUCAGCGGCCAUGGUGAGUGUCUUGAGGUGCGGGAGUUCGGCUUGAAGUGCCUUUCACCCGUGAACACUGAACCUUAUGUUGUCUUGGCGGGCCCGCCGC